CAAUCGAACCCGGAGAUAGCUGGUUCUCCUCGAAAUAGCUUUAGGGCUAGCCUCGCAUUAGUUUACCGGAGGUAGAGCACUGAAUGGUCUAGGGGGCCUCACCGCCUACCGAAACCUAUCAAACUGCGAAUGCCGGAUAAAUGAUGUGCGGGAGUCAGGCCGCGAGAGAUAAGUUCCGCGGUCAAAAGGGGAACACCCCAGAUCGUCUGCUAAGGUCCCCAAGUACGCGUUAAGUGGGAAAGGAUGUUGGAUUGCACAGACAACCAGGAUGUUGGCUUAGAAGCAGCCACACAUUCAAAGAGUGCGUAAUAGCUCACUGGUCGAGUGAUCCAGCGCCGAAAAUGUAACGGGGCUAAAACGCGACACCGAAGCAGCGGGAUGCGUAAGCAUCGGUAGAGGAGCAUUGUGUGAGGAUAGAAGCCAGAGCGGGAGCACUGGUGGACUUCACAGAAGAGAGAAUGCCGGUAUGAGUAGCGAGACCCAUGCGAGAAACAUGGGCGUCGAAGGCCCAAGGUUUCCUGGGGAAGGUUCAUCCACCCAGGGUAAGUCGGGACCUAAGCCGAGGACUGAGGUCGUAGGCGAUGGACAGCAGGUAGAGAUUCCUGCACCACUUACACUUGUUUGACGAAGCAGUGACACAGAAGGAUAGGACGAGCGCGGUGAUGGUCAACCGCGUAGGCGGCACGAGGCUGGGGAGCAGUAAAGUACACUUCCCGGGAAGGCUGAGUGCUGACAGGACCGAAAAAGAGUAGGGAAGCGUCUGAGUUCACGCUGGCGAGAAAAGCUGCUAAGGAGAGUGUGAGUGCCCGUACCGGAAACCGACGCAGGUGGGCGAGGAGAGAAUCCUGAGACGGACGGGAGAACUCUUGUUAAGGAACUCGGCAAAAUGACCCCGUAACUUCGGGAGAAGGGGUGCCUCGAAAGAGGCCGCAGAGAAUAGUCACAAGCGACUGUUUAGCAAAAACACAGGUAUCUGCGAAAGCGAGAGCUGACGUAUAGGUGCUGACGCCUGCCCGGUGCUGGAAGGUUAAGGGGAAGUGUUAGGGGAAACCCGAAGCAGAGAACCGAAGCCCCAGUAAACGGCGGCCGUAACUAUAACGGUCCUAAGGUAGCGAAAUUCCUUGUCGGGUAAGUUCCGACCCGCACGAAUGGCGUAACGACUUGUGAGCUGUCUCAACAGGAGGCCCGGUGAAAUUGAAGUAUGUGUGAAGAUGCACAUUACCCGCGACUGGACGGAAAGACCCCGUAGAGCUUUACUGUAACCUGACAUUGGAUCUUGAUAACGGAUGCACAGGAUAGGUGGGACGCUGGGAGGUAUGGACUUUGGUCUGUACGGAGCGGACGUUGGGAUACCACUCUUCUGUUAUUGAGAUUCUAACCUCAAGCCGUAAGCCGGAUGAGAGACAGUGUCAGGCGGACAGUUUGACUGGGGCGGUCGCCUCCGAAAGAGUAACGGAGGCGCCCAAAGGUACCCUCAGAAUGGAUGGAAACCAUUCGAAGAGAGCAAAGUCAGAAGGGUGCUUGACUGCGAGACCAACAAGUCGAGCAGGUACGAAAGUAGGGCUUAGUGAUCCGGCGGUAAGAGAGUGGAAUUGCCGUCGCUCAACGGAUAAAAGCUACCUCGGGGAUAACAGGCUGAUCUCCCCCAAGAGUUCACAUCGACGGGGAGGUUUGGCACCUCGAUGUCGGCUCAUCGCAUCCUGGGGCUGAAUUCGGUCCCAAGGGUUUGGCUGUUCGCCAAUUAAAGCGGCACGCGAGCUGGGUUCAGAACGUCGUGAGACAGUUCGGUCCCUAUCCAUCGUGGGCGAAGGACACAUGAGAGGAGCUGCUCCUAGUACGAGAGGACCGGAGUGGACGCAUCACUGGUGCAACUGUUGUCGUGCCAACGGCACAGCAGGGAAGCGAAAUGCGGAUGGGAUAAACGCUGAAGGCAUCUAAGCGUGAAGCCCACCUCAAGAAUAAGUGUCCCAUUCGAAAGAAGUAAGACCCCUGGAAGACUACCAGGUGAUAGGUCAUCGGUGAAAGAGCGGUAACGUUUGGAGCUUGAUGAUACUAAUCGGUCGAGGACUUGAUCUA
rnacentral:rRNA from 1 species